rnacentral:rRNA from 1 species
AUUGAACGCUGGCGGCAUGCCUAACACAUGCAAGUCGAGCGAGCGGCGGACGGGUGAGUAAUGUCUGGGAAACUGCCUGAUGGAGGGGGAUAACUACUGGAAACGGUAGCUAAUACCCCAUACCAUCAGAUGCGUCCAGCUGGGAUUAGCUAGUAGGUUGGGUAACGGACCACCUAGGCGACGAUCCCUAGCUGGGCUGAGAGGAUGACCAGCCACACUGGAACUGAGACACAGUCCAGAAUCCUACGGGAGGCAGCAGUGGGGAAUAUUGCGCAAUGGGCGCAAGCCAUAUGCAGCCAGUCCGCGUGUGUGAAGAAGGCCUUCGGGUUGUAAAGCACUUUCGGCGGGGAGGCGUUACCCGCAGAAGAAGCACCGGCUAACUCCGUGCCAGCAGCCGCGGGAAUUC